CUUAUAUUAUGAAUGAAUGAAAUUCAAUUCACAUCGAUAUCGCAUCAAAGGCAUCAGAUGAUCAGACAACUUUUACAUUAUGAGUAAAGUGUUCAUAAUGUUUUUUUACGGUCAAUAAGGCUUCCAAAUACUAGCAACAGUUUAUAGAACAAAUAAUAUUCAUCGAUUCCUUUCGGGUCAUGAAGGCAGCAUAUAGUCUCAAAAUUUAGGCUCAUAUUUAUAUUCAUUGAUUCCUUUCAGGUCAUCGAUGCAUCCAAUCCAUCCCUUAUAUUAUGAAUGAAUCAAAUUCAAUUCAUAUCGAUAUCGCAUCAAAGGCAUCGGACAACUUUUACAUUC
rnacentral:lncRNA from 1 species